GGUUCCAGGGGUGCUGCCGCUCCUGCAAGUGUUAUAAAAAUCAGCAGAGGAGAGUGAGUCUACAGGUGUCCACUGUGCCAAGAACUGCUGCAGCAAGAGUUUGUGUGGCUUCAGAAGCCAGGAGACAGAGCUCAUGGCAAACCAGGCUGUGGGAAAUGCAGAAACCUUCUCAGUGCUGGAGCAGAGCUGGCUGUCAAUGUCACAGUCACCGCUGCUGGUGGUGGGUCCCCACAGCGCUGGGCUGUCCAGCAUGUCCUGCCUCUCUCUUUUUGAUGCCGAGUCACUCACAGCAGAACCAUAAUCCCAGAGUCUACAUAAGCAAGCUGCUGGUCCAGCAGACCUGGAGGGUUUUGUAUGCAGGCUGGCUGGCUUGGCUCUUCCCAAAUCCUGCUAGUGUCGGCAGGGAAUGAAACUCCCUCCUUCCACCUCCUGCCUACAAAGACCCCAACAACUCCCUUUGCUGACCUUGGCCUUCGAUUUCAAAAUCUCAGUGACCCAGAGGAAUUACUGAAGUAAAUAAAAUAAAACACAUGCCUCUAAACUGCAGAAGGCAUGAAGUAUACCCCCUUGAAACCAUGCACAUAUUUGUUCCUGCCCAAAUGGGGGUUUAUGGAUAUACGGAUGUGCUUUUUAGCUCUUCUUAUUUGUCUUGUCUGUGAUUUGUUUGGAGGAAUUGUAAAAAUACAGAUCUUCCAGGGCACUUCUUGUAAGUUGUAAUGAAAGCUUGGCUCAUUCUAGCUGUACUACGACUCCAGCACAGAUUGCAUUACUUCAAACCUUGGUCUGUGGACUUGGAGAAAGAGCACAGUAAUUGCAUGUCCUUUCCAAGAAUACCAAAAAACAUAUAAAUACUAACGAAGUGCAAUCUAGCAUUUUCUCUUGUCAUAUGCUGCAUAUUCCAUUAGACAGCACUCAGGCCCUGUCUUAUUUGGGUAGUUUCCUUCUGUGAAAGGCAGGUGGAAUUGGAAAACUGGAGGUCAGUUACCCAGAUGAUGCAGACAAUAAUUUCUGCUCUUUUUGGCAAACAAACAAAAUUUUUUUUCUAUAUAAAAGAAUACUAUAAUAAAAGAAAUUCAAGAGGCAUACUAGUAAAACACAGUCCUUCAAGAAAAUAAGCGCUUUCCCAACCAAAGACGAAAAGAGG